rnacentral:rRNA from 1 species
AUUGAACGCUGGCGGCAGGCCUAACACAUGCAAGUCGAGCGAGCGGCGGACGGGUGAGUAAUGUCUGGGAAACUGCCUGAUGGAGGGGGAUAACUACUGGAAACGGUAGCUAAUACCGCAUACCAUCAGAUGUGCCCAGAUGGGAUUAGCUUGUAGGUGGGGUAAUGGCUCACCUAGGCGACGAUCCCUAGCUGGUCUGAGAGGAUGACCCGCCACACUGGAACUGAGAGACGGUACAGAAGCCUACGAAAGGCAGCAGUGGGGAAUAUUGCACAAUGGGCGCAAGCCUGAUGCAGCCAGGCCGCGGGUGUGAAGAAGGCCUUCAGGUUGUAAAGUACUUUCAGUGGGGAGGCGUUACCCGAAGAAGAAGCAACGGCUAACUCCGUGCCAGCAGCCGCGGUGAUUC